rnacentral:rRNA from 1 species
GACGAACGCUGGCGGCGUGCUUAACACAUGCAAGUCGAACGGAAAGGCCCUGCUUUUGUGGGGUGCUCGAGUGGCGAACGGGUGAGUAACACGAGAGUAACCUGCCCUUGACUUUGGGAUAACUUCAGGAAACUGGGGCUAAUACCGGAUAGGAGCUCCUGCUGCAUGGUGGGGGUUGGAAAGUUUCGGCGGUUGGGGAUGGACUCGCGGCUUAUCAGCUUGUUGGUGGGGUAGUGGCUUACCAAGGCUUUGACGGGUAGCCGGCCUGAGAGGGUGAGCGGCCACAUUGGGACUGCGAUACGGCCCAGCCUCCUGCGGGAGGCAGCAGUGGGGAAUAUUGCACAAUGGGCGGACGCCUGAUGCGGCAACGCCGCGUGCGGGAUGACGGCCUUCGGGUUGUAAACCGCUUUCGCCUGUGACGAAGCGUGAGUGACGGUAAUGGGUAAAGAAGCACCGGCUAACUACGUG